rnacentral:misc_RNA from 1 species
UCCGAGUUGACCCCGGCGGUCUCCCACGAGUCCCCAUCACCCCGAAGGGCUGCCGUAUUUCUACGGCAUUCAGGUGCAUGUCAAGCCCUGGUAAGGUUCUUCGCGUUGCGUCGAAUUGAACCACAUGCUCCGCUGCUUGUGCGGGCCCCCGUCAAUUCCUUUGAGUUUUAGCCUUGCGGCCGUACUCCCCAGGCGGGGCGCUUAAUGCGUUAGCUUCGGCACGGACGGAGUCGACACCGCCCACACCUAGCGCCCAUCGUUUACGGCGUGGACUAC